ensembl:snRNA U6 U6 spliceosomal RNA
GUGCUCACAUCAGCAGCACAUAUACUAAAAUUGGAACGACAGAGAUAAUUAGUAUGGCCCCUGUCAAAGAUGACAUGCAGAUUGUUCUGGCCAGGCAAUAUGCC